GGGGGAUUAGCUCAUCUGGUAGAGUGUCCGCUUUGCAAGCGGAAGGUAAUGGGUUCGAGUCCCAUAUUCUCCA
rnacentral:tRNA from 1 species